rnacentral:rRNA from 1 species
UACGUAGGGUGCAAGCGUUAAUCGGAAUUACUGGGCGCAAAGCGUGCGCAGGCGGUGAUGUAAGACAGGUGUGAAAUCCCCGGGCUUAACCUGGGAACUGCAUUUGAGACUGCUCUGCUCGGGUGCGGAAGAGGGAAGCGGAAUUUCCGGUGUAGCGGUGAAAUGCGUAGAUAUCGGAAGGAACACCAGUGGCGAAAGCGGCUUCCUGGUCCGACACCGACGUUCAGGCACGAAAGCGUGGGGAGCAAACAGG